rnacentral:rRNA from 1 species
UACGAGGGGGGCAAAUGUUGUUCGGAAUCACUGGGCGUAAAGGGAGCGUAGGCGGGCUUUUAAGUUGGAUGUUUAACCCCGGGGCCCAACCCCGGAUCGGCAUCCAAAACUGGAAGUCUUGAAUAGUGGAGAGGACGACGGAAUUGGGGGUGUAGCGGUGGAAUGCGUAGAGAUCCCCAAGAACACCAGUUGCGAAGGCGGUCGUCUGGACACAUAUUGACGCUGAGGCUCGAAAGCAUGGGGAGCAAACAGG